AGAGAGGGUUAUAAGAC
rnacentral:tRNA from 1 species